UACGUAGGCAGCAAGCGUUGUUCGGAGUUACUGGGCGUAAAGGGUGCGUAGGCGGCUUUUUAAGUUUGGUGUGAAAUCUCCCGGCUCAACUGGGAGGGUGCGCCGAAUACUGAGAAGCUAGAGUGUGGGAGAGGAAAGUGGAAUUCCUGGUGUAGCGGUGAAAUGCGUAGAUAUUGGGAGGAACACCGGUGGCGAAGGCGGCCCUCUGGACCGAAACUGACACUGAAGCGCGAAAGCUGGGGGAGCAAACGGG
rnacentral:rRNA from 1 species